GCACUGCUGAGGAAUCCCACAACAGGACGAAACGGCCGUCCAGUGC
rfam:Schistosoma rodhaini strain Burundi genome assembly, scaffold: SROB_scaffold0000194